GUGAGGAAUUUUCCGCAAUGGGCGAAAGCCUGACGGAGCAAUGCCGCGUGAAGGAUGAAGGCCUAUGGGUUGUAAACUUCUUUUCUCAGAAAAGAAUUAUGACGGUAUCUGAGGAAUAAGCAUCGGCUAACUCUGUGCCAGCAGCCGCGGUAAGACAGAGGAUGCAAGCGUUAUCCGGAAUGAUUGGGCGUAAAGCGUCUGUAGGUUGUUUAAAAAGUAUUCUGUCAAAGAUUAGGGCUUAACCCUAGAUAGGCAGAAUAAACUUUUAAGCUAGAGUUUGGUAGAGGCAGAGGGAAUUCCUGGUGGAGCGGUGAAAUGCGUAGAUAUCGGGAGGAACACCAAAGGCGAAGGCACUCUGCUGGGCCAAUACUAACACUGAGAGACGAAAGCGAGGGGAGCAAAUGGGAUUAGAUACCCGUGUAGUCC
rnacentral:rRNA from 1 species